CCUACGGGUGGCAGCAGUGAGGAAUAUUGGUCAAUGGCCGGGAGGCUGAACCAGCCAAGUCGCGUGAGGGAAGACGGCCCUACGGGUUGUAAACUUCUUUUGUCAGGGAGAAAGGUGCAGGUCGGGACCUGUUGUGAGAGUACCUUAAGAACAAGCAUCGCCUAACUCCGUGCCAGCAGCCGCGGUAAUAGGGGGGAUGCGAGCGUUCUCCGGAUUACUGGGGGUUAACGGGUGCGUGGGCGGAGGCACAAUUAAGCGGGAAAAUCGCGGGCUUAAACCCCGCAUCGCAUUUGCACUUGUGUCCCUUGAGUGCGGGAAGGGGAGGCGGAAUGCGUGGUGGAGCGGUGAAAUGCAGAGAGAUGACGAAGAACUCCGAACGCGAAGGCAGCCUACCGGCACGCAACUGACGCUCAUGUGCGAAAGCGUGGGUAUCAAACAGGAUUAGAUACCCCAGUAGUC
rnacentral:rRNA from 1 species